UCAAAUUUCCAUACUAGCUCUUGCUAGUUUCAACGUAAGUUGAAAGGAUAUUUAAGGUGUUUUUCGGCAAACCUCAGACAGUAGUGAAUUAAAUUUCCUCGCUGAGGAGUAGUACAUUGAAAGAAGGGAAUCUUCAAAACCUGGUAGAGUUAGGUUUGAAACUUCAUCGGUAACGGAAUCAUUAAUAUCAAGCUAGGAGCAUUGUACUGAGGACAAUCUAGCAGAAUAUUAGUUUUGUAUCAGUAGAUAUUGAUUUUGUGUUUACUAUCAUCGAUGAUUCAUCUGGUUUUUCAGGGAAAGUGCGCAUAAGCAUGGAAAAAAGUGCAUUUUCCAAUGGAGGGGAAACUCAUGAUGCUUUGUUCGGUUGUGUGUGUGGCACAGGGUGGUUGUGAUAUUAUGGAAACUUAUUAUUCAAUUAAUUGAUUUGAAAUAUUAUAAUACGACUUUUCAUACAAAAUAUUAGUCUCUAUUUUUAGAAGUCCUGGUGCUUUAGAAACUGGAAAUUGUUUUAAAAUCCUCCAAUAAUCUCUAACGGUUCAUUUUGCUCAGCAACUUACCUCCUCAUUUGUUCUAAAUUAGUAAUCUAAGCAAGCUUAUGCAAAUGAGAAUCAGCACGCCCGGUAUCAUAUCCCUCGAGGCAUACGGGACUUUGCAAUCGAACUAAGAUACUGAGACCUAAGUGGAAGAACCAUCCGAACCAAAGCCAACCCGAUAGAAUAACAUUAAUUAUAAACUAAUUAUCUACUUUGUGCCAGCUGUUGUUCGAGCUCGUACCCGUUCGGAAUGACAAGAAGCUUCCCUUUGGCAUGGACAAAAGGAGUGUGGAGCAAAUGUACUCUUUCCCUCAUAGUAAAUGACUACCUCUUUUAAGAAUGAGAAGAAACAGUGUCCUCAUCAUUGCGAUAAAAUAAAGGCUGACUUGUAGGGAAAGUUGGGGCUGUUGUACCUGUUAUAAUUCAACCAAACUCGGUUCCUUUCCGUGCCUUCUCUUGCACAAUAAUGCUUCAAAGAAGGGGGAAAAGUUUUCCGGCACCCUGCGGAAUUUUUAAUAACUUCCCUGUAAAGCUGUAAUCUGUUAUUGGGCUGAAGAAGAAUUUUCCAACUUUGCGGUGCCGGUGGAGCGUAUUUUUCCCCCGUUCUUUUUUAUGCCCAUUUCCUCUCUGGUCGUUCAAAGCAAACGUCACAAUUGAGAGAGUGGCAACUUUUUUCAUUAAACUUAGUGUUCUUGUUUUGCUCGUAGCUCUGCUCACCAUACACACGAGUCGCGAGUUGGAGAAAGUGAUGCCGGCGAAAUGGCACCAAGCGGAGCGCGCUUAGCUCGACUCUCAACGAUCACUACUGCGGCGAAUGAGGCAUUAAGCGAGAAAAUAUACACUGAUGUCAUGUGGCAAUCGUUUCUGUGGCAUUGCAAACCACUUCAAUAUCCGGGCGGCCGUGCCGAGCGUGAGUGUGUGAUUUGAUGUGGAGGAAAACACAUUUCCAUAAUAAAAGGUUUGGAGAUCCUCUUCACUAAGGCGUUGCAUUGCGUCUUUACGGUUACAGCGGCAGCAAUGUAGUUUUACGAUCGAUAAAACCAUGUACUAAGAUCGAUUAUUUGUGCAUAAAGCCUCCAUUGCUCUUGAGUUUUGGUAGUGAAAUAAAUUGAAAUCUUUACUGUUUCACUUGCGGUAUAAAGUCACAGACGUGCUCCCAUCUAUUUGCAAUUAUCAUAAAUCUCCAGCGCAUGUAAAGCGAACGCGAUAACCGUGUAGUGAAAGUAAUGAGAAACAAAAUUCAAAUUAUUCGUCCCGGGCUUAAA